rnacentral:rRNA from 1 species
GCGAACGCUGGCGGCAGGCCUAACACAUGCAAGUCGAACGGAUCCUUCGGGAUUAGUGGCGGACGGGUGAGUAACACGUGGGAACGUGCCCUUUGGUUCGGAACAACUCAGGGAAACUUGAGCUAAUACCGGAUGUGCCCUUCGGGGGAAAGAUUUAUCGCCAUUGGAGCGGCCCGCGUCUGAUUAGCUAGUUGGUGAGGUAACGGCCCACCAAGGCGACGAUCAGUAGCUGGUCUGAGAGGAUGAUCAGCCACACUGGGACUGAGACACGGCCCAGACUCCUACGGGAGGCAGCAGUGGGGAAUCUUGCGCAAUGGGCGAAAGCCUGACGCAGCCAUGCCGCGUGAAUGAUGAAGGUCUUAGGAUUGUAAAAUUCUUUCAGCGGGGACGAUAAUGACGGUACCCGCAGAAGAAGCUCCGGCUAACUUCGUGC